AGGGUUUGAUUAUGGCUCAGAUUGAACGCUGGCUGCAUGCUUAACGCAUGCAAGUCGAACGAGAAAGUGCCUUCGGGCGCGAGUAAAGUGGCGGACGGGUGAGUAAUGCAUAGGAAUCUGCCCAGUAGUAGGGGACAACUCGGGGAAACUCGAGCUAAUACCGUAUAUUUCCUAAGGGAGAAAGACUUCGGUCGCUAUUGGAUGAGCCUAUGUCAGAUUAGCUUGUUGGUAGGGUAAUGGCCUACCAAGGCGACGAUCUGUAGCUGGUCUGAGAGGAUGAUCAGCCACACUGGGACUGAGACACGGCCCAGACUCCUACGGGAGGCAGCAGUGGGGAAUAUUGGACAAUGGGCGAAAGCCUGAUCCAGCAAUGCAGCGUGUGUGAAGAAGGCCUGAGGGUUGUAAAGCACUUUCAGUAGGGAAGAUAAUGACGGUACCUACAGAAGAAGCACCGGCUAACUCCGUGCCAGCCGCCGCGGUAAUA
rnacentral:rRNA from 1 species